rnacentral:lncRNA from 1 species
CUGAAAGGGGCCGUCAGGGAACAGAAGGUGUGUGGCUCAGACUCUAGGGUGGUGACCAUGGAGAAGGAGUCCGUGUCUCACUGACAAGACUGUCCAGGGGUUCCCACCGGGAAGGGAGAAAGUGACAGCAAGAGGACUGAGGGGCCUGGCUGUCUGUCCCUCCAGGGAGAUAAGGAACAAAUGACGCACAGGGAAGACCAGCGGCGACAGAGGAUGAGAAGCAGCAGUCACAGCAGGGAACUGCAGACCCAGAACAAAGACCCUCCACCUUUGCCUCGAUGGUAGGUGACACUUAGGACGUAUUUAUUGUAUGAACGGAUAACAAGACCAGUUCUUCAAAUUACAAGCUCCAAUAUCCCAGGAAAAUUUGCCUCGGCACUGGAUUUGGUGAGUGUUACUCUGUCACAACUUCGGAAGACUCCCAGUUCUAAGGAGACGUGAGAGGGGCGUCAGGGUACCAUCUUUGCAUCUCCAUCCCCUCGCUGCCUGCCCCAGCAGCUGCUCAGCUCAUGUCAGCCUCCCCUUAUCUGACUCUAUAGAUAUUUGGGGAACUUGUGUAGUCUUUUCUGGCAGAAGUGGUUGAGGCUGAGGAGAUGACAUCAUAAUAGGGGCUGCACAAGGAGGAAGUCCAGUCAAGUGCCCCUGAGGGAGGGCGUGAUCAAGACUAGAGUGGGUGACAAGAAGGCUAGGGUGCUCCUUCAGGCAGCUCAACAACAGAACAAGCCCAGAGAAUCUCAAAGACUGGAGGCUUCCUCACUACUUGGCCCUUGGGUACCCCAGAGGAUGAGUGUCUCCUUUACCCUUCACUGGAAUUGUGGCGUCUUCUUGGCGUUUCUCCCACUGGAUCUAGUUCCAUGUCUGGCGGUGGACGACGUGAAGUGGAGUGUCGGCUGAGGUGACACGAGCCCCCGCAGACGACACGUUGAAUACUGUUCUGAAGACUACACCAUGGGCUAUGGCACUAGCCAGACUUCCCCCUAGCGUGCAUCGGGACCACCUGCACGGCUUGUUGGAACACAGAUCGCCCCACUCCCAAAGUUUCAGAAGUAACACAAAUCAAAUCCAGAAGUACAGUCAUUGAAAUAAAGGCCAUGUAUUAGAAGUCCACAGCUAACAUCGUAUUCAUGGUGAAAGACUGAGAGCUUUUCCUCUAGGAUCAGGAACAAGGUGUUCUGCCCAGAAGCGCAAAGGCACGCUGAGAAAGAAGAUGCCAGAGACGGAGACGUGAAAUAGUCACCCCACACUUAGAGCAAGAGGAUUAGCAGAAAGAAAACCAAAGCACAGCAGGAUAGAGGAGCUGCCUGUCC